AUGGCACAUGACUUCCUCCUGAGGCAGGUCUGCUUACCCUUUUUCUCUUCUUUUUUUUUUGAACACUUGAAGAGAAAUGAAGCCUUCUUCAGAGUUGGAUAUUUAUUUUUACUUCUUGCAGCUUAUAGUCAGCAGAUGAAGAUUAUUCCCCCAGGCAGAGUGGCCAGUUGCUUGCCUCUCUCUGACCCAGUGAAUGGACCCAUGGGGCAAACUAGAGUCUGUUUGCAGUCUAAUGAUGUUUUAAGUAUCGGAAGGAUCAAGGUGCUCACAAGGAUAACAGUCAAGUUCACUGAACCUCAACUAGGGUGGAGCCAAAGGACAUUCUUCCCAGCACCCUCAGAGGCUUCCAGUUGCUAUUUCCCCCUGGAUUCUUGGAGCCAAACUGUCCUUUGACAGUAUAAACCACCAAGCCUGUCAGUUUCUGCUUAAAUUCUAG
rnacentral:lncRNA from 1 species